rnacentral:rRNA from 1 species
GACGAACGCUGGCGGCGUGCCUAAUACAUGCAAGUUGAGCGCUGAAGGUUGGUACUUGUACCAACUGGAUGAGCAGCGAACGGGUGAGUAACGCGUGGGGAAUCUGCCUUUGAGCGGGAGACAACAUUUGGAAACGAAUGCUAAUACCGCAUAAAAACUUUAAACACAAGUUUUAAGUUUGAAAGAUGCAAUUGCAUCACUCAAAGAUGAUCCCGCGUUGUAUUAGCUAGUUGGUGAGGUAAAGGCUCACCAAGGCGAUGAUACAUAGCCGACCUGAGAGGGUGAUCGGCCACAUUGGGACUGAGACACGGCCCAAACUCCUACGGGAGGCAGCAGUAGGGAAUCUUCGGCAAUGGACGAAAGUCUGACCGAGCAACGCCGCGUGAGUGAAGAAGGUUUUCGGAUCGUAAAACUCUGUUGGUAGAGAAGAACGUUGGUGAGAGUGGAAAGCUCAUCAAGUGACGGUAACUACCCAGAAAGGGACGGCUAACUACGUG